AGAGAUUUGGCCAAUAUGUCUGCUAACUUUACAGAGGUGGAAAUAUGGUAAAGUGUGAUGAUCCCUUCUUGGAUCUUAUCUCUUACAAAAUGACAAUCCACUUCUAUGUAUUUUGUACAUUCAUUAAACACGAGGUUCAUUACAAUGUGUACUACUGCUUGACUUUCACAGUAGACUGGUAAAGGUAACUUACAAUUUUUAGUCAACUUUUCCAAUAAUCAUUCUAGCCAGACUAAUUCCCUAACCACCUUUCUCACUGUUCUAUACUCUGCCUCUGCUGAUGACAAGGAUACACUGGGUUGCUUCUUUGAUUUUCAGCUAAUGGGACUGUGUCCCAUAAGUACAAUGUAUCCACUAACUAAUCUUCUUGAAUCUGCACAACUGUACCAAUCUAAGUCACAGUAAGCAUUGAUCUUGAAGCUAGGUUUGUAGGACAUGAAGACACCUUAAGUCAAGUCAUUCUUUAAUUAUCUUAAUAAAUGAUAAGCAACUUUGAGAUGUGUCUCUCUUGGUGCUUGCAAUAGUUAACUAAGGUAAUGGACAGUGUAUGUGAUUUCCAGUCUUGUGUUGGUAAGAAAGUUCAACUUUCCUACUAAUUUUCUAUCGUGAGUAGGGUCAGUAAGUAAGAAUCCAUCAAAUGAACUUUGUUUUUCAGUAAAGUCCAGUGGAGUUGUUUUGUUGCUAUAGGUUCAUAGUCAAAUUCUCUAACCAGAUCAGUAGCAAACUUCCUUUGUGUGAUCAGGACACUAUCACUCCUAUUCAAGAUCUCUAACCCCAAUAAAUAGCAAAGUCUUCCCAAAUCCUUGAUUUUGAAUUGAUUGUGUAGAAAAUUCUUUAGUGCCUUGAUCUAUUCUAAGUCUGUUCCAAUUUGAUUAUAUCCCCUUGAGUACAGUGCCUUGGCUAAUUUUUCAUACCAUUGUCUACUUGCUUGUUUUAGUCCAUAAAGGGACUUUUUCAAUUUGCAGACCAUGGUUUUAUCAUUAACCAGCAAACCCUGUGGAAACUCCAUGGAUGCUUUCUCACAUAGAUCACCAUGUACGAAGGCAAUAUUAACAUCAAACUGGUAAAAUUCCCAACCUUUCUUGGUAGCCAAUCCAAUCAGUAUCCUCAUAGUUAUCCUAUUGACACUGGUGAGAAGGAUUCUAUGCAGUCAAUUCCAAAUUAUUGUGUUUAUCUUUUUACCAAUAGCCUUGUCUUGUAUCUCUUUAUCGACCCAUCAACAUUGUAUUUGAUCUUGUAUACCCACUUACAACCAAUGGGUGUGUUUCCUGUUGGGAGACGUGCAAGAUCCCAAGUGUUGUUUACAUGCAAUGCCUCAAAUUCUUGAGUCAUGGUUGCCUGCCAUGCAGUGCUCAAUAUUGCAUCCUCUUAGAAUCAUGUGAUAUAUGUUGCACUAAUUUUUCAUUGACAUGACAAAAAGAGGUGAUAGAUGUUAUCCAGUUUCUAGAGAUGCUGGUUCACUUGAUUGAGGUGUGUGGUUUGUUUAAGAGUGUAGAUUAGGAAAUUUAUAGGUGUAUUCUUUCAGAUAAGUGGGGAAUAUAUGUGUUCUAGUUGAUCUUCUAGGUGGUGGUUCUGAGGCCUCAAUGGUAGUCUGGUGAGGUGAAGGGGCAAAUUCAUGAGUAUCUAUAGGAGUAAAUGAUUCAUUGGUUUCAUUUGUAUCUUUUGUAGUAUUGGUGGUGGCAUUUCUAAUACUAGUGACAUUAUUAUGAAAUUUAGCAUCUAACAUGUAAUCACUAGCAAGAGUACUAUUAUUAGAAUUCAAGCUCUUUGAAUUAGGACUCGUUAUUUUCAAAAUAGCUCGAAAACUAAAAUCAAAAAAAGACAAAGCAGAAGGAAAUAUGUUCUCAUAAAACACUACAUCUCUGGAAAUGUGUAUUCUCUUGGAACUCAAGUCUAAGACUUUGUAUCCUUUGGUAUUGAAGGGACGUCCAACAAAGAUAUGGAGUUUUGAUCUUUGUUCAAACUUGUAUCUGUGGCACUUAAGGGUGAUAGGCAAACAUAAACAUACAAAAGCCUUGAAAUGUGAGUAAGUGGGGUAUGUUUGGUAUAUCUUCUCAAAAGGGGUUUUGUUUUGAAGAGUGGCAAAGGGUACUCUAUUUAUCAGGUAUGUUGUAGUUAGAAUGCAUUCACCCAAAUAUUGCAUGGGUAGUUUUAAAUGGUACAACAAUGCCCCCUGUGGUUUCAAGGAGGUACUUGUGUUUUCUGUCUACCACACUAUUUUGUUAUGGUGUGUAGGGAUA
rnacentral:lncRNA from 1 species